rnacentral:rRNA from 1 species
GAUGAACGCUGGCGGCGUGCCUAAUACAUGCAAGUCGAGCGAACAGACGAGGAGCUUGCUCCUCUGACGUUAGCGGCGGACGGGUGAGUCACACGUGGAUAACCUACCUAUAAGACUGGGAUAACUUCGGGAAACCGGAGCUAAUACCGGAUAAUAUAUUGAACCGCAUGGUUCAAUAGUGAAAGACGGUUUUGCUGUCACUUAUAGAUGGAUCCGCGCCGCAUUAGCUAGUUGGUAAGGUAACGGCUUACCAAGGCAACGAUGCGUAGCCGACCUGAGAGGGUGAUCGGCCACACUGGAACUGAGACACGGUCCAGACUCCUACGGGAGGCAGCAGUAGGGAAUCUUCCGCAAUGGGCGAAAGCCUGACGGAGCAACGCCGCGUGAGUGAUGAAGGUCUUCGGAUCGUAAAACUCUGUUAUUAGGGAAGAACAAAUGUGUAAGUAACUAUGCACGUCUUGACGGUACCUAAUCAGAAAGCCACGGCUAACUACGUG